rnacentral:rRNA from 1 species
GAUGAACGCUGGCGGCGUGCCUAAUACAUGCAAGUCGAGCGAACAGACGAGGAGCUUGCUCCUCUGACGUUAGCGGCGGACGGGUGAGUAACACGUGGAUAACCUACCUAUAAGACUGGGAUAACUUCGGGAAACCGGAGCUAAUACCGGAUAAUAUAUUGAACCGCAUGGAUCAAUAGUGAAAGACGGUUUUGCUGUCACUUAUAGAUGGAUCCGCGCCGCAUUAGCUAGUUGGUAAGGUAACGGCUUACCAAGGCGACGAUGCGUAGCCGACCUGAGAGGGUGAUCGGCCACACUGGAACUGAGACACGGUCCAGACUCCUACGGGAGGCAGCAGUAGGGAAUUUUCCGCAAUGGGCGAAAGCCUGACGGAGCAACGCCGCGUGAGUGAUGAAGGUCUUCGGAUCGUAAAACUCUGUUAUUAGGGAAGAACAAAUGUGUAAGUAACUAUGCACGUCUUGACGGUACCUAAUCAGAAAGCCACGGCUAACUACGUG